rnacentral:rRNA from 1 species
ACGUGCGGUUCGAUGUACUAGUAAAGUGGUGCACGGUGUGUAGCGCGUGGGUAAUCUACCCUUAAAUUCGGAUCUACUCCGCGAAAGCGGUGCUAAUACCGGAUAAUAUCUUUCUUCUUGGAUUUAAGAUUAAAGGGUGGCCUCGAUAUAUAAGGUACCGUUUAAGGAGGAGCCCGGUGUACCAUUAGCUUGUUGGUAGGGUAAUGGCCUACCAAGGCUACGAUGGUUAGCUUGUCUGAGAGGAUGAUCAGCCACACUGGAAAUGACACACGGUCCAGACUCCUACGGGAGGCAGCAGUGAGGAAUUUUGCGCAAUGGGGGAAACCCUGACGCAGCAACGCCGCGUGAGUGAUGAAGGCCUUAGGGUCGUAAAGCUCUGUCAAGUGGAAAGAAAAUACAAAGUGCUAAUAUCACUUUGUACUGACGGUACCACUGAAGGAAGCACCGGCUAACUCCGUGCCAGCAGCCGCGGUAAUACGGGGGGUGCAAGCGUUAUUCGGAAUUAUUGGGCGUAAAGAGCGCGUAGGCGGUUUUUUAAGUCAGAUGUGAAAGCCCGGGGCUUAACCCCGGAAGUGCAUUUGAAACUGGAUGACUUGAGUAUGGGAGAGGGAAGUGGAAUUCCUGGUGUAGAGGUGAAAUUCGUAGAUAUCAGGAGGAACACCGGUGGCGAAGGCGACUUCCUGGACCAAUACUGACGCUGAGGCGCGAAGGCGUGGGGAGCAAACAGGAUUAGAUACCCUGGUAGUCCACGCAGUAA